GAUCCUGGCUCACGAUGAACGCUAGCUACAGGCUUAACACAUGCAAGUCGAGGGGAAACGAUAGAGAAAGCUUGCUUUUUCUAGGCGUCGACCGGCGCACGGGUGAGUAACGCGUAUCCAACCUGCCCAUCACUUGGGGAUAACCUUGCGAAAGUAAGACUAAUACCCAAUGACGUCUCUAGAAGACAUCUGAAGGAGAUUAAAGAUUUAUCGGUGAUGGAUGGGGAUGCGUCUGAUUAGCUUGUUGGCGGGGUAACGGCCCACCAAGGCGACGAUCAGUAGGGGUUCUGAGAGGAAGGUCCCCCACAUUGGAACUGAGACACGGUCCAAACUCCUACGGGAGGCAGCAGUGAGGAAUAUUGGUCAAUGGGCGAGAGCCUGAACCAGCCAAGUAGCGUGCAGGAAGACGGCCCUAUGGGUUGUAAACUGCUUUUAUAAGGGAAUAAAGUGGGAGUCGUGACUCCUUUUGCAUGUACCUUAUGAAUAAGGACCGGCUAAUUCCGUGCCAGCAGCCGCGGUAAUACGGAAGGUCCGGGCGUUAUCCGGAUUUAUUGGGUUUAAAGGGAGCGUAGGCCGGAGAUUAAGCGUGUUGUGAAAUGUAGAUGCUCAACAUCUGCACUGCAGCGCGAACUGGUUUCCUUGAGUACGCACAAAGUGGGCGGAAUUCGUGGUGUAGCGGUGAAAUGCUUAGAUAUCACGAAGAACUCCGAUUGCGAAGGCAGCUCACUGGAGCGCAACUGACGCUGAAGCUCGAAAGUGCGGGUAUCGAACAGGAUUAGAUACCCUGGUAGUCCGCACGGUAAACGAUGGAUGCCCGCUGUUGGCCUGAAUAGGUCAGCGGCC
rnacentral:rRNA from 1 species